rnacentral:rRNA from 1 species
UGCGCAGGCGGUUAUAUAAGACAGAUGUGAAAUCCCCGGGCUCAACCUGGGAACUGCAUUUGUGACUGUAUAGCUAGAGUACGGCAGGGGGGGAUGGAAUUCCGCGUGUAGCAGUGAAAUGCGUAGAUAUGCGGAGGAACACCGAUGGCGAAGGCAAUCCCCUGGGCCUGUACUGACGCUCAUGCACGAAAGGCGUGGGGAGCAAACA